rnacentral:rRNA from 1 species
GAAACUGGGGAUAAUACUGGAUAUUAGGCUAUGCCUGGAAUGGUUUGCCUUUGAAAUGUUUUUUUUCGCCUAAGGAUAGGUCUGCGGCUGAUUAGGUCGUUGGUGGGGUAAUGGCCCACCAAGCCGAUGAUCGGUACGGGUUGUGAGAGCAAGGGCCCGGAGAUGGAACCUGAGACAAGGUUCCAGACCCUACGGGGUGCGGCAGGCGCGAAACCUCCGCAAUGUACGAAAGUGCGACGGGGGGAUCCCAAGUGUUAUGCUUUUUUGUAUGACUUUUCAUUAGUGUAAAAAGCUUUUAGAAUAAGAGCUGGGCAAGACCGGUGCCAGCCGCCGCGGUAACACCGGCAGCUCGAGUGGUAGCUGUUUUUAUUGGGCCUAAAGCGUUCGUAGCCGGUUUGAUAAGUCUUUGGUGAAAGCUUGUAGCUUAACUAUAAGAAUUGCUGGAGAUACUAUUAGACUUGAAGUCGGGAGAGGUUAGAGGUACUACCGGGGUAGGGGUGAAAUCCUAUAAUCCUGGGAGGACCACCUGUGGCGAAGGCGUCUAACUGGAACGAUCUUGACGGUGAGUAACGAAAGCCAGGGGCGCGAACCGGAUUAGAUACCCGGGUAGUCCUGGCCGUAAACGAUGUGGACUUGGUGUUGGAAUGGCUUUGAGUUGUUCCGGUGCCGAAGGGAAGCUGUUAAGUCCACCGCCUGGGAAGUACGGUCGCAAGACUGAAACUUAA